AGCUUGCUGAGAUGAGUAUACUGGCGGAUGGGUGAGUAACACGUAGGUAAUCUACCUACAGGACAGGGAUAACACAGCUAACGCGGUGCUAAUACCUGAUAAAGCGAUUGUUAUAAGAGAUGGUCGUUAACGGCUGGCAUUAGCUAGCGCCUGUAGAUGAGCCUGCGUCCCAUUAGUUAGUUGGUAGGGUAACGGCCUACCAAGGCGACGAUGGGUAGCCGGCCUGAGAGGGUGAGCGGCCACACUGGGACUGAGAUACGGCCCAGACUCCUACGGGAGGCAGCAGUGAGGAAUAUUGCGCAAUGGCCGAAAGGUUGACGCAGCGACGCCGCGUGAGGGAUGAAGCUUUUAGGAGUGUAAACCUCUGUUAGGAGGGAAGAAUAACGGCAAUUCGAACAGGGUUGUCGGAUGCCGGUACCUCCAGAGGAAGCCCCGGCUAACUCCGUGCCAGCAGCCGCGGUAAUACGGGGGGGGCUAGCGUUGUCCGGAAUUACUGGGCGUAAAGGGCGCGUAGGCGGGAUAGCAAGUCAGUGGUGCAAACUUGAGGCUUAACUUUGAGCUUGCCAUUGAUACUGUUAUUCUUGAGUUCGGCAGAGGGAAGUGGAAUUCCUGGUGUAGCGGUGAAAUGCGUAGAUAUCAGGAAGAACACCGGUGGCGAAGGCGGCUUCCUGGUCCGAUACUGACGCUGAGGCGCGAAAGCGCGGGGAGCGAACAGGAUUAGAUACCCUGGUAGUCCGCGCUGUAAACGAUGGGUACUAGGUGUUGGUUGUAGAGAUCAGCGCCGGAGUAAACGCAUUAAGUACCCCGCCUGGGGAAUACGGUCGCAAGACUGAAACUCAAAGGAAUUGACGGGGGCCCGCACAAGCGGUGGAGCAUGUGGUUUAAUUCGAUGCAACGCGAAGAACCUUACCUGGGCUUGAACUGCAGGUGCUAUCUCCUGAAAGGGAGUUUCCUUCGGGACACCUGUAGAGGUGCUGCAUGGCUGUCGUCAGCUCGUGCUGUGAGGUGUUGGGUCAAGUCCCUCAAUGACAGCAACCCCUGUCGGUAGUUGUCAUCAGGUCAAGCUGGGAACUCUAGGGGGACUGCCCCGGAUAACGGGGAGGAAGGUGGGGAUGAUGUCAAGUCAUCAUGUCCCUUACGUCCAGGGGUACACUCGUGUUACAAUGGC
rnacentral:rRNA from 1 species